rnacentral:rRNA from 1 species
UCAGAUUGAACGCUGGCGGCAGGCCUAACACAUGCAAGUCGGACGGUAGCACAGAGGAGCUUGCUCCUCGGGUGACGAGUGGCGGACGGGUGAGUAAUGUCUGGGGAUCUGCCCGAUAGAGGGGGAUAACCACUGGAAACGGUGGCUAAUACCGCAUAACGUCGCAAGACCAAAGAGGGGGACCUUCGGGCCUCUCACUAUCGGAUGAACCCAGAUGGGAUUAGCUAGUAGGCGGGGUAACGGCCCACCUAGGCGACGAUCCCUAGCUGGUUUGAGAGGAUGACCAGCCACACUGGAACUGAGACACGGUCCAGACUCCUACGGGAGGCAGCAGUGGGGAAUAUUGCACAAUGGGCGCAAGCCUGAUGCAGCCAUGCCGCGUGUAUGAAGAAGGCCUUCGGGUUGUAAAGUACUUUCAGCGGGGAGGAAGGCGAUGUGGUUAAUAACCGCAUUGAUGACGUACC